GAUGAACGCUGGCGGCGUGCCUAAUACAUGCAAGUCGAGCGAACGGACGAGAAGCUUGCUUCUCUGAUGUUAGCGGCGGACGGGUGAGUAACACGUGGAUAACCUACCUAUAAGACUGGGAUAACUUCGGGAAACCGGAGCUAAUACCGGAUGAUAUUUGGAACCGCAUGGUUCAAAAGUGAAAGACGGUCUUGCUGUCACUUAUAGAUGGAUCCGCGCUGCAUUAGCUAGUUGUUAAGGUAACGGCUUACCAAGGCAACGAUGCAUAGCCGACCUGAGAGGGUGAUCGGCCACACUGGAACUGAGACACGGUCCAGACACCUACGGGAGGCCGCAGUAGGGACUCUUACGCAAUGGGCGAAAGCCUGACGGAGCAACGCCGCGUGAGUGCUGAAGGUCUUCGGAUCGUAAAACUCUGUUAUUAGGGAAGAACAAAUGUGUAAGUAACUGUGCACAUCUUGACGGUACCUAAUCAGAAAGCCACGGCUAACUACGUG
rnacentral:rRNA from 1 species